rnacentral:rRNA from 1 species
GACGAACGCUGGCGGCGUGCUUAACACAUGCAAGUCGAACGGAAAGGCCCUGCUUUUGUGGGGUUCUCGAGUGGCGAACGGGUGAGUAACACGUGAGUAACCUGCCCUGGACUUUGGGAUAACUUCAGGAAAGUGGGGCUAAUACCUGAUAGGUGCUCCUGCUGCAUGGUGGGGGUUGGAACGUUUCGGCGGUUGGGGAUGGAGUUGCGGCUUAUCAGCUUGUUGGUGGGGUAGUGGCUUACCAAGGCUUUGGCGGGUAGCCGGCCUGAGAGGGUGACCGGACACAUUGGGACUGAGAUACGGGCCAGACUCCUAAGGGAGGCAGCAGUGGGGAAUAUUGCACAAUGGGAGGAAGCCUGAUGCAGCAACGCCGCGUGCGGGAUGACGGCCUUCGGGUUGUAAACCGCUUUCGCAUGUGACGAAGCGUGAGUGACGGUAAUGGGUAAAGAAGCACCGGCUAACUACGUG